AGAUUGAACGCUGGCGGCAUGCCUUACACAUGCAAGUCGAACGGCAGCACGGGGGCAACCCUGGUGGCGAGUGGCGAACGGGUGAGUAAUGCAUCGGAACGUGCCCAGUAGUGGGGGAUAACGUAGUCGAAAGAUUAGCUAAUACCGCAUACGACCUAUGGGUGAAAGCGGGGGAUUCGCAAGAACCUCGCGCUAUCGGAGCGGCCGAUGUCUGAUUAGCUAGUUGGCGGGUAAAGGCCCACCAAGGCUUCGAUCAGUAGCUGGUCUGAGAGGACGACCAGCCACACUGGGACUGAGACACGGCCCAGACUCCGUAACGGGAGCAGCAGUGGGAAUUUUGGACAAUGGGCGCAAGCCUGAUCCAGCCAGUCGCGCUGCGGAAG
rnacentral:rRNA from 1 species